rnacentral:rRNA from 1 species
GAGUACGAUCGCAAGAUUAAACUCAAAGGAAUUGACGGGGCCCCGCACAAGCAGCGGAGCAUGCGGCUUAAUUCGACGCAACGCGAAGAACCUUACCAAGGCUUGACAUAUACAGGAAUAUGGCAGAGAUGUCAUAGCCGCAAGGUCUGUAUACAGGUGGUGCAUGGUUGUCGUCAGCUCGUGUCGUGAGAUGUUGGGUUAAGUCCCGCAACGAGCGCAACCCUCGUUCUGUGUUGCCAGCAUUUAGUUGGGGACUCACAGGAGACUGCCGGGGUUAACUCGGAGGAAGGUGGGGAUGACGUCAAAUCAUCAUGCCCCUUAUGUCUUGGGCUGCACGCAUGCUACAAUGGCUGGUACAAACGGCUGCAAUACCGCAAGGUGGAGCGAAUCCGAGAAAGCCAGUCUCAGUUCGGAUUGGGGUCUGCAACUCGACCCCAUGAAGUCGGAGUUGCUAGUAAUCGUAGAUCAGCAACGCUACGGUGAAUACGUUCCCGGGGCUUGUACACACCGCCCGUCACGUCACGAAAGUCGGUAACACCCGAAGUCAGUGGCCCAACCGCAAGGAGGGAGCUGCCGAAGGUGGGAUCGGUGAUUGGGACG